rnacentral:rRNA from 2 species
UAGGGAAUCUUCCGCAAUGGGCGAAAGCCUGACGGAGCAACGCCGCGUGAGUGAUGAAGGUCUUCGGAUCGUAAAACUCUGUUAUUAGGGAAGAACAAAUGUGUAAGUAACUAUGCACGUCUUGACGGUACCUAAUCAGAAAGCCACGGCUAACUACGUGCCGGCAGCCGCGGUAAUACGUAGGUGGCAAGCGUUAUCCGGAAUUAUUGGGCGUAAAGCGCGCGUAGGCGGUUUUUUAAGUCUGAUGUGAAAGCCCACGGCUCAACCGUGGAGGGUCAUUGGAAACUGGAAAACUUGAGUGCAGAAGAGGAAAGUGGAAUUCCAUGUGUAGCGGUGAAAUGCGCAGAGAUAUGGAGGAACACCAGUGGCGAAGGCGACUUUCUGGUCUGUAACUGACGCUGAUGUGCGAAAGCGUGGGGAUCAAACAGG